rnacentral:rRNA from 1 species
CCUACGGGAGGCAGCAGUGAGGAAUCUUGCACAAUGGGCGAAAGCCUGAUGCAGCGACGCCGCGUGAGGGACGAAGGCCUUCGGGUUGUAAACCUCUGUCAGUGGGGAAGAAGAUUGACGGUACCCACUGAGGAAGCUUCGGCUAACUACGUGCCAGCAGCCGCGGUAAUACGUAGGGAGCAAGCGUUGCCCGGAAUUACUGGGCGUAAAGAGCUCGUAGGCGGGGGCGUGCGUCCGAGAAGAAAUCUCAUGGCUCAACCAUGGGGCUAUCUCGGAUACGGCGCUUCUUGAGGGUGAGAGAGGAAAGCCGGAAUUCCAGGUGUAGCGGUGAAAUGCGUAGAUAUCUGGAGGAACACCAGCGGCGAAGGCGGCUUUCUGGCUCAUUCCUGACGCUGAGGAGCGAAAGCGUGGGUAGCGAACGGGAUUAGAUACCCCGGUAGUCCACGCCGUAAACGAUGGAUACUAGGUKUAGGAGGUAUCGACCCCUUCUGUGCCGGAGUUAACACAUUAAGUAUCCCGCCUGGGGAGUACGGUCGGCAAGGCUGAAACUCAAAUGAAUUGACGG